CAUGUAUAUGUGCUUGUUUGUGUUCAUCAAUGUGCGCGUGCGCGCUUUUGUGUCUGCGCUUUGAGAGUGCGUAUACUUGUGUGUGCGUGUGGGUGCGUUUUGUGUGCGUGCGUGUGUAUUGCAUGAGGCCGGUAGAGUUUUACUCGCAAUAAAACUCUUCCGAUUUGGUGCAGCGAAUGUUCCCGCCUGAAAGCCGAGUUUGGUUUCAAGCCACCCUGGACAACUGCUGUAUGAGGCGCCGUUUCUCGGGAGGACCAGUGGGAAGGCGCCAAGUCAUGCAGAUGGUAGCAGCAAUUUCACAAUGCCCAGCCUUGGCGCCCCCAUCAAGAGCAAGCCACUUGCGUUCGCCUUCAGACAGAUGGUUAAUGUCUUCUUGAAAGCGGUUGAGAAGACAACAUUGAUGCAAGAUUCCAGCAAUGCCAUGCGCUGCAUUUAUUGGUCAAGAUGCUCAGAGAAUGGAGUCCCUGCACCUCGUGGUUAACCGUGAACAUUUCUUUUUCUUUUGGAAAGCUAAAGGCCAUUUGCUGCAUCACUUGCAUUUUUGCAGCUCAGAUGUGUACUAUAUUUUCUAAUUUUGAAUCAAUAUUGGCUGUUCAGUAUAAAAAAUGACGUACAGCGUGAAGGACAAGGACUGCGAGAGACACACUCCACUGACUUUCAACAAUAUUUUAUUGCGUUGCCACAUCGUGUGUGAAUACACAGAGGGGUCAUGCGCAGAAAAUGAAAGCCAGUCGCAAGGGGUGUUCUAACAGCAAGUCAUUGUAAAAAGAGCAUGGUCACUUGAAAAAAAAAACAUCACAAUUUCUAUCUGUUUAGAUACAAAAUUUCACUAGGGGUCAGCGUGAUAGAGGGGCCACUAACGCACACACUACCCAGUUUUCUGGUGAAAUCAGCUUCAAUAAUUUACUGGGUGAGCUGUCUCUCGCUGAAACUUCCGUAUCUUAAAGAGGGGCAUGCAGCUGCAGUCCCGGCAAUGAAUGCCCAAGUGGCCUUGAACAGUGUUAUUGAUGUUGUUAUAGUGCUCUCUUAAACGAUCAUUUAGGCGCCUGCCUAUCUGUCCAAUAUAUUUACUGCCUCAAAAUGGGAAUUUGGGAAACCACAUUCGUUGCACACAUCGCAAAACGUUUUCUGUGCCCGGCAGAGCAACAACUCUGACGUGAUUCAGGCGCGUUUACACACUUACAGAGCCUUGCCAGCUUUUCCGGGGCUGAGAAAAGGACUGCGAUUUCUGCAGGUUCCCUAAUCUUUUUUAGCCUAUGGGAGACAUCAUGAACAUACGGUAGCACUGCAAACCUGUGUCUUUCAACCGGCUGGUUCCUUGACCGAGCGUGCUCAUCAUGUUUUGUGCACUUCAGAAGCUGUUCUGCUAUGCCUGAAAUUAAGGCCAAAGGGUAGCCAACGCAAGAAAGGCAAUCAGCCUGUGCAGCAACGCUAUGUUGCAUCUCGUGUGAGCAAGAUUUAUUGAGGCUGUUAAGGAGGCAAAGCUUUACAAUGUUUCAUUUGACUUUGUUGGACAGACAGGCAGGCGCCUAAACAAUAAUUUAGGAGAGCACGAUAACAACGUCCAUAACACUAAUCAAGGCCACUUCGGCAUCCAUUCCUGGGACUGCGGCUGCGUGCCCCUCUUUGAAGGUACGGAAGCUUUAGCGAGACGCAGGUCAUCCGGGAAACUAUAGAAGCAGAUUUCACUAGAAAACUGGUUAGUGUGUGCGUUAGUGACCCCUCUAUCGUGCUGACUCCUAGUGAAGUCUUGUAUCUCAACAGAUAGAAAUUCUAAUGUUUAUUUUUUUCAAAGGGUGAUGUUCUUAGUACAGUCACUUGCUGUUAGACACCCCUUGUGACUCAUAUUCUGCGCAUGCCCGCUUUUGUACAAAUACACAUGAUGUGGCAACAUAAUUAAAUAUUGUUGGAAGUCAGCGCAGUCUGUCAUCUCUCGCAGUUCUUGUCAUUCAAGCUGUACGUAAUUUUAUCUCAUUAAUUGCAAACUAUCCCAAGAAACUACCCUUGUUCAGUAUAAUUAUAAUGUUUGAUACGACCAUUUGCUGGCAAAUGUUAACAGUGUGAUAUUUAACUUGAACUUUUGCAUGACUGCCUAUGCCUGUGUUCUUUUAGUAACCAGAGUAUGGCUAAUUUAUUAAACCAUAUUAUCUAAUUUGCAUGCUCACAUGCUAUAGCAUGCCUUAAUCUUGAAUUACUGCAUCUAAGUGCAAAUAAUUUAUUUAAUAAUUUAUUUAAAUAAAUCGUUUAAUCAACAGUGGUUUGUUUUUAUCAGGCCUCCUACUGCACUUUGCACCCAGGCACUAGUAGAUGUGGAAUAUGCACUCUUUUGAUUGAUUGUAAGAAAAGAACCUAUUUUCAAACUACAUAUUGUAUAUGUACCAGUGCCUUAGAGUUACAAAACAAAAAUUUAUAGAAACUGGUAUUGUAGUUAGAAAAACCGCUACACAGCACAUUUAGCCCAGAGAACUCUUGUUUCACAAAAGAGGACAAACUAUGUAGGCACUAAAAAAUUCUACGUAUUUUUUGUGCUCAAGUAAUCUUGUUGGAAAUAGAAAAUUAGCAAUAAGGCUUCUGGCAUAAACCUCACUUAAAGCAUGUCUAUGCUUGGAAAGUAUUGUUUCAGUCUGAAAAAUGUUGGCCAGUUAUGCUUUACAUCUACUUUCCAAACUUUUCAUAAUGCUUUGCGAUUACAUUAGUGUACAAAAUAACACGUGCCUUUCUUGUGCGUUUGCUCUGCAUUUCAAUUGCUUCCCUAAUUCACCUUUGCAAUAUGCCUUUUUUUUAAGGCAUCAAAACUUGAAUUUUCGUUCACUGGAGCCUAAUACUAAAAAUUUAUUCCUUUAUGUGGCCCAAAACACUGCGAAUCAACCCAGGCUCUUUCAGUGCCGCUAUACAUAGUUUCUUCUCUAAUAACAGAUUUGAUCAAUACAUAUAUUUUAGGUACCUUUGUGGGGAAUGUACAUGUUCUUUUACUUAGCGAUGUGUUUGGUGAUUGUGCAUGUUUAUAUUUCAUGUGAUUUAUGUAUGUGUUGUACUCUGUAUUGCAGCAUGCAAUAAAUAUAUUUGCGUUUUCUUGAAAAUGCAGCAUAUAUCUUACCAGUCUGUGUUGCAUGUUAUUUGUAUAUGGAAAUCGUGAUAACCUUGGUGUUGAUAUACUUGCUCAAAAGUGUCAAGUUUGCUAGGUUGUAUUUGUGCAGCGAAGACAGGUUUUCCAAUAUACACCAUGAAUUACUAAUAUGUAAUGUGAUCCACACGUAUAGGUGUUGUGUAUGCCCAUCGAAGCUUCAAGGCCGGCUGUUCGACAGUGCGUUUGGUAGCCGAACUUGAACCUUCUGGCACACGCAAUAGUUGCGCGAGGAUCGCUGUACAUAGUAGUAAUUGAAGGCGUGUACUGCCCAAUCUGCCUUCCAUACACGCUAGAAAUAAAAGGGUGUACACCCUUCCAACACCCACACAGAUGGGUGUUAAUUUGGACGAGCACCCUUACACCCUAAAUUUAUUUUGCUGGACACCCUUCCUUUAGGGUGCUAUAGUGGCACCCCAACUGUAGGGUGUAGACAACAGCACCCUUAGGGUGUUCGUCUGGCGACAAACUGAUUUACACCCUUAAGGGUGUUAAAAUGUUUA